rnacentral:rRNA from 1 species
ACGAACGCUGGCGGCGUGCCUAAUACAUGCAAGUCGAACGCUUCUUUUUCCACCGGAGCUUGCUCCACCGGAAAAAGAGGAGUGGCGAACGGGUGAGUAACACGUGGGUAACCUGCCCAUCAGAAGGGGAUAACACUUGGAAACAGGUGCUAAUACCGUAUAACAAUCGAAACCGCAUGGUUUUGAUUUGAAAGGCGCUUUCGGGUGUCGCUGAUGGAUGGACCCGCGGUGCAUUAGCUAGUUGGUGAGGUAACGGCUCACCAAGGCGACGAUGCAUAGCCGACCUGAGAGGGUGAUCGGCCACAUUGGGACUGAGACACGGCCCAAACUCCUACGGGAGGCAGCAGUAGGGAAUCUUCGGCAAUGGACGAAAGUCUGACCGAGCAACGCCGCGUGAGUGAAGAAGGUUUUCGGAUCGUAAAACUCUGUUGUUAGAGAAGAACAAGGAUGAGAGUAACUGUUCAUCCCUUGACGGUAUCUAACCAGAAAGCCACGGCUAACUACGUGCCAGCAGCCGCGGUAAUACGUAGGUGGCAAGCGUUGUCCGGAUUUAUUGGGCGUAAAGCGAGCGCAGGCGGUUUCUUAAGUCUGAUGUGAAAGCCCCCGGCUCAACCGGGGAGGGUCAUUGGAAACUGGGAGACUUGAGUGCAGAAGAGGAGAGUGGAAUUCCAUGUGUAGCGGUGAAAUGCGUAGAUAUAUGGAGGAACACCAGUGGCGAAGGCGGCUCUCUGGUCUGUAACUGACGCUGAGGCUCGAAAGCGUGGGGAGCAAACAGGAUUAGAUACCCUGGUAGUCCACGCCGUAAACGAUGAGUGCUAAGUGUUGGAGGGUUUCCGCCCUUCAGUGCUGCAGCUAACGCAUUAAGCACUCCGCCUGGGGAGUACGACCGCAAGGUUGGAACUCAAAGGAAUUGACGGGGGCCCGCACAAGCGGUGGAGCAUGUGGUUUAAUUCGAAGCAACGCGAAGAACCUUACCAGGUCUUGACAUCCUUUGACCACUCUAGAGAUAGAGCUUCCCCUUCGGGGGCAAAGUGACAGGUGGUGCAUGGUUGUCGUCAGCUCGUGUCGUGAGAUGUUGGGUUAAGUCCCGCAACGAGCGCAACCCUUAUUGUUAGUUGCCAUCAUUUAGUUGGGCACUCUAGCAAGACUGCCGGUGACAAACCGGAGGAAGGUGGGGAUGACGUCAAAUCAUCAUGCCCCUUAUGACCUGGGCUACACACGUGCUACAAUGGGAAGUACAACGAGUCGCAAAGUCGCGAGGCUAAGCUAAUCUCUUAAAGCUUCUCUCAGUUCGGAUUGUAGGCUGCAACUCGCCUACAUGAAGCCGGAAUCGCUAGUAAUCGCGGAUCAGCACGCCGCGGUGAAUACGUUCCCGGGCCUUGUACACACCGCCCGUCACACCACGAGAGUUUGUAACACCCGAAGUCGGUGAGGUAACCUUUUGGAGCCAGCCGCCUAAGGUGGGAUAGAUGAUUGGGGUG